AACGAACGCUGGCGGCAUGCCUAACACAUGCAAGUCGAACGAAGGCUUCGGCCUUAGUGGCGCACGGGUGCGUAACGCGUGGGAAUCUGCCCUUUGGUUCGGAAUAACAGCUGGAAACGGCUGCUAAUACCGGAUGAUGACGAAAGUCCAAAGAUUUAUCGCCAGAGGAUGAGCCCGCGUUGGAUUAGGUAGUUGGUGGGGUAAAGGCCUACCAAGCCGACGAUCCAUAGCUGGUCUGAGAGGAUGAUCAGCCACACUGGGACUGAGACACGGCCCAGACUCCUACGGGAGGCAGCAGUGGGGAAUAUCGGACAAUGGGCGCAAGCCUGAUCCAGCAAUGCCGCGCGAGUGAUGAAGGCCCUAGGGUUGUAAAGCUCUUUUACCCGGGAAGAUAAUGACUGUACCGGGAGAAUAAGCCCCGGCUAACUCCGUG
rnacentral:rRNA from 1 species